UCCGGUAUGGUGUAACGGCUAACAUUGCCGCCUUUCAUAUUAAUAUUGAACGCGGCAGCUCGGGGUUCGAUUCCCCGUACCGGAA